ensembl:lncRNA
CGGGGAGCAACGUGGAGAUGGACCAAUCGGGUGAGGACGGCGACCGGAAGGGGAGGGUCUGGAGGGGGACUGAUGGGAAACGAGGGGUCGCGCCGCCCGAUGUGACGCCCCCUGCAGGGCCGGAGGUGCAUCGCUCACAGCGCGCAGUUCCCACCUCCUAAUUAACCUCAUUAACGCGGCGGAACUCCAUUCCCAGCACGGCAACUCCUCACAAUCAGCAGCUCCUCACAAUUAGCGCCGUUCCUCCUCAUUACCUCCGAAUGAACGCCGCCCGGCCGUCAGCCACCGCAGCUGAACACUGCUUGGGCUGAACACUGCUAAUUAGCGUGAGGUAAUUAAGGCAGCCCAUUACAGGGUGACCCACAGCUGGAGCUGAUGGGUUUGAGGGCAGGGCUGGAGCACCAGGAGCACCCAGGGGUGCUGUGAGCCAAUGAAUGGAUGGUCAGCCCGUGGGGUAAUUAAUGGGCCAAUCAACGGGAAAUUGGUAAUUAGGGAUCAAUCCGUGGGUAAUUAAUUGGUAAUCAAGGAUUAAUCCAUGGGAAAUUGGUAAUUAAGGCCAGACUCAGAAGGGAGCCCUGGGAAGAGGACCCGCAAGGGAACAGGAUCUACAAAUUGGACCUUCAAGGACCCUCCCAACCCAACCAUCCCAUGGCUCUAUGAUCUUCCAGGACCCUUCCAACCCAUCCCAUGGCUCUAUGACCUUUCAGGACCCUUCCAACCCAACCAUCCCAUGGCUCCAUGAUCUUCCAGGACCCUUUCAACCCAUCCUAUGGCUCUAUGAUCUUCCAGGACCCCUCCAACCCAACCAUCCCAUGGCUCCAUGACCUUUUAGGACCCUUCCAAUCCCCCCCUCCCAGGGAUCUAUGAUCUUCAAGGACCCUUUCAACCCAUCCCAUGGCUCUACGCCCUUUAAGGACUCUUCCAACCCAACCAUCCCAUGGCUCUAUGAUCUUCAAAGACCCUUCCAACCCAUCCCAUGUCUCUAUGACCUUCAAGGACCCCUCCUACCCAACCA